AGUGUUGCAAUCGAUCGAAAAUGAUUGUGGUUUUAUACCUAAAUGUUUAUUCAUUUGCGUUUUCUUGAAAACCAACUUUAAAAUUAAUUAAGUUUUAUUUGUUACGAGUAAAAGAGGCUUUUUUCAAAAAUGCUAUGUUAAUAUUGCGAUUAUAUAUUAAUAAUGAUAUAAAAUAUAUAUGUGUCGUAAGUGCUAACAAUAUGUUCCUUGUUUACAAUUUGACUAGGGAUAUUUUUGUCUUCAUUUAUUUUACCAUUAAAAUUUAAUUUUCUAAAGUUUCCUACACCGAAAUCUUGCGAAAAAGUUCUUUAACAUAACAAGUGAGAAUAAAAAUAUUUUUCACUAUACCUUGGUACAGUAAUGGUUAACCUAUAUUUAAGUUAUAUACAAACAAAAUAUUUAUGAUUGACUAUUUAUAAUGAGUGACGAUACAGACGAUAAGAAUUCUGCAUGCAGUUCUGCAUUUAAAUCUAAUUGGACUAAACAUGAAAAAUUUUUAUUAUUAAAAAGUCUUAAACUUUAUGGGCAUAAAAAUAUAGCUGCUAUAUCUACAUUUCUCUCUAAUAAAUCUCAAGAUGAUAUUCAAGAUAUGAUAAAUAAUUUAAAAAGUAAAUCCAAGAUCGUAAAGAAAAAUACAUCUUUAUUAGAUGAUUGGAUCGAACAUAAAAUAAUUAAAAAAAAAAAUACAUUAAUCCGGCAAGUAUUACUUUUUAUAUCUCUGUUUGAAAAAAAUCCUUCCGACAACAGGAUGUGUGACUAUAGAGAAAUUUAUCGUUAUCUUUAUAAGUUGUCUUGUAACAUGAAAAACAUUAAGCUUUCAAACCCGAAUCAAGAUAUACUUUACAAAGCUUUUACAGUAAUAGACAAUAGAAUUACAACUACACCUCAACAAGACAAACUUAUAUUACAUCUAAAAAAACUUCUUAACGAAAAUAAAAAUAUAAGAACUUAUCCGAGCAAAAAAGCUACUAAUAAAUAAUAUGAAAAGAAAAUGAUGUUGAAAAGUAUCUUGAAUUUGUAAAUAUUUAUUUGUAAUGUAAUUUUAACAUAACUAAAUCCUAUUAAUAUGUUUACUAUCAUUGCCACAUACCUGUAAUGCAUCGAUUUUCAUUAAGAGUUCAGCAUCAUACAUUUAUGACAAUCACUGGAAUCUCUUCUCUGAUAGCAACUGUAUUAAUUUAGAUUACAUAUGUAAGUGAUUCAUUUGGCGAUUACAAUGAAACAACUAUAUUAAUUAAUAUUGUGUAUCUAUUAUCAUAAAAUAUCGUUAAAAUUAAAUAUACGUAGCAGAUACAUUUACUGGAAAAUGAGUAUAUAUAUAUAUAUAUACGUGUGCAUAUAUCGGCAAGUAAUACGUUACACAUUUAUAAAGAUGUGAAUUUAUAAGAGAAUAAAUUAUACUUUAUAUUCAA
rnacentral:misc_RNA from 1 species